rnacentral:rRNA from 1 species
GACGGGGGGCAAGUGUUCUUCGGAAUGACUGGGCGUAAAGGGCACGUAGGCGGUGAAUCGGGUUGAAAGUGAAAGUCGCCAAGAAGUGGCGGAAUGCUCUCGAAACCAAUUCACUUGAGUGAGACAGAGGAGAGUGGAAUUUUGUGUGUAGGGGUGAAAUCCGUAGAUCUACGAAGGAACGCCAAAAGCGAAGGCAGCUCUCUGGGUCACUACCAACGCUGGGGUGCGAAAGCAUGGGGAGCGAACAGG